UACAGAGACUGCAAGCGUUAUUCGGAUUCACUGGGCGUAAAGGGUGCGUAGGCGGGUUAUUAAGUCAGUGGUGAAAGCCGGCAGCUCAACUGUCGAACUGCCAUUGAAACUGAUAGCCUAGAAUCUAGUAGAGGUAGGCGGAAUGUAUCAUGUAGCGGAUGAAAUGCUUAGAUAUGAUACAGAACACCAAAUUGCGAAAGCAGCUUACUAUGCUAGUAUUGACGCUGAGGCACGAAAGCGUGGGGAUCAAACAGG
rnacentral:rRNA from 1 species